rnacentral:rRNA from 1 species
CCUACGGGUGGCAGCCGUGGGGCAUAUUGCACAAUGGGGGAAACACUGAUGCAGCGACGCCGCGGGAGUGAAGAAGUAAUUCGUUAUGUCAAGCUCUAUCAGCAGGGAAGAAACAGACGGUACCUGCGUAAGAAGCCCCGGCUAACUACGUGCCAGCAGCCGCGGUAAUACGUAGGGGGCAAGCGUUAUCCGGAUUUACUGGGUGGAAAGGGAGCGUAGACGGCAAUGCAAGCCAGGAGGGAAAGCCCGGGGCCCACCCCCGGGACUGCUCUUGGAACUGCAUGGCGGGAGUACAGGAGGGGCAGGCGGAAGUCCUAGUGUAGCGGUGAAAUGCGUAGAUAUUAGGAGGAACACCGGUGGCGAAGGCGGCCUGCUGGACUGUGACUGACGUUGAGGCCCGAAGGCGUGGGGAGCAAACAGGAUUAGAUACCCCGGUAGUC